rnacentral:rRNA from 1 species
GACGAACGCUGGCGGCGUGCUUAACACAUGCAAGUCGAAGGGGAAAGUUUUCUUCGGAGAAUGAGUAUACUGGCGCACGGGUGAGUAAUCUGUAAGUAAUCUACCCAAGGGUAUAGAAUAACUCAGAGAAAUCUGGGCUAAUACUGUAUAAUGCAGCGGCAUCGCAUGGUGAUGUUGUUAAAGCUAUUUAUAGCGCCUUUGGAUGAGCUUGCAUCUGAUUAGCUAGUUGGUAAGGUAAAAGCUUACCAAGGCUACGAUCAGUAGCUGGUCUGAGAGGAUGAUCAGCCACACUGGAACUGAGACACGGUCCAG